AAUAUGUUAACGAGGGCUAACAUGCUAAUUACAUCAUCCCAUGAAGUACCUUACCCCUCCCCAUACAUGGGAUACAUAGGUAUAUGGGUCGACCUAGGAGAUGGACCCAAGGAAAAUG